AUCACUCCAUAAAAUUAAACCCUAGCUAGAAAGGAAGAGUGGUUGUAUUCUUUGGCGGUGAAAGAGAGAAAGAGAUUGAAGUUGUGGAGGAAGGUUAAGAAAUAAGAAGAAGAAGUCGGAAGGGAGGGAACUGCCACCAUCGACUUGGUCAUCGGCCUAAACUCUCAUUGGAAGCAUAGGUAUAGGGAACGAGGUAGAGAGAAUUAGAGAGAGGAAUAAAUGACAUGUAGAAAACGACUGUGUAGUGGGUAUGAAGGUUGUUUAAAAACUCAUAAUUUCAUAGUUGUUCUCUGACGAAGAUAUUAACCAAGAACAACUCAUAAGUGUGGGUGUCAUGUUUAAGAUUUAUGCAUGAGGAAGGAAAACACAACAAAAGAAGAAGUGCAGAGGACACCGAAGAUGGAGAAUAUGAGUGCUAGACAGAGAGACAGAGAGCCAACAUAAAAGGUUCAAAGUGAUGGUCUGAGCUCUUCACCAUUGUUUAUGGCCUACUCAUGUGGGUUUUACACCAACAUAGCUUUUGAGGAGUUGCUACCACCACUUUCAGUACCGGUCUCGUGAGGGUCCUCCAAUGAUGUUGGGUCAACUCAUCAUCACCGGAGUUGGAAGCACCACUGGAGAAAUGGGUUAGUUGAAGUUUCCAUGGGGAGGGGAGGGUUGUACGACAUGGAUGAAGUGAGGAGUUCAGAGAUCUGGAAACCCAUUUUAGCCACUUUAGUGGUCCUUAUCCUACGAUUGCUGCUUCAGGUGAGUUUCCCUCAUUGUACUUGUAGGUCGAGGGCACCAAUAUCGGCCUAAUGGAUUAUGUAUCCUAGUAUAUUGGAUGAUGUUAUGUUGGCUAUAUGAUAGAAUGGUGGAUCUAUAUGAUUACCUGUAUCCCCUGGUUACGUGUUAGACUAGUAGAUCUAUAUGAUUACGUGUACUUGUUGGUUAUUAAUUGUUAUUGUAUAUGUCGACAUUUUAUGGUUUGUUCGGUUGAGGUGGUCCUACUUUGUGUUGAAGGCCAAGAUACCCAGGGUGGUAUGUUAGGUUGUAGGCCCAAUGAGGCGGUUCAGUCAGCCUGAAUGCCCAAAGAGCGGUCUGGAUAGGUUGAAGGCCCUGCAAGGUGGUCCAGUCAGGCCAAAGACUCGAAGAGCGGUUCAGAUAGGUUGAAGGCCCUACGAGGCGGUCCAUUCAGGCCGAAGGCUUUGAGAGCAGUCCAGAUAGACUAUAGGCCCUGCAAGGCGGUCUAGUAAUGUUGAAGGCUCUUAUAUGCAUGAUGCUGUUUGUUUGGUAGUGUGUGGUACUUUUGGGGAACUCACUAAGCUUUUGCUUACAGUUUGAAUUUAUAGUUUCAAGUACUUAAGAGGAUAUGGGCAAGGUGAAGGCUUGAUCGAGCACAUCAUCUUGGACUUUAUGAGAUUAUGAUUUUGGGAUACUCUGAUUCAUAUUUAUGACAUUUGGAAACUAUGUUUUGUAAACACUUUUGGUUUUGGAUUGGUUUCAAAAAUGAAAAUUUUACCUUAA